GCUCCGAAUUCGCCCUUCCUACGGGAGGCAGCAGUGGGGAAUUUUGCACAAUGCCCGAAAGGGUGAUGCAGCAACGCCGCGUGAGGGAUGAAGGCCCUCGGGACGUAAACCUCUUUCGAUCGGGAAAAACGGACGGGUGAAGAGCCCGCUCUGAUGGUACCGGAUGAAGAAGCCCCGGCCAACUACGUGCCAGCAGCCGCGGUAAUAAGGGCGAAUUC
rnacentral:rRNA from 1 species